AUGGUGGAAGCCGCCGCGGGACGCCGGUCGGGUACCAGCCCUCGGCGGCCUAGCGGCGGAGGGGAGCAGCAGCUGCCCCUUGUCGCCGUCGCGCUCGCCACGCGCGUCGUCAUGGUCACGUCCGCUCCGCCCGCGGGGGGCGGUGUGGGAGGAGGUGGAGCGGCCGCUGGUGGCCGGUGUCUCGAUGACCUUCUCGGCUGCCUGCUCGGCGUGCUCCGCGUGCUUGGCUUCCCGUGGGCCGCGUCCCCUCAGAGGCAGCCGCGCCCAGUGUCGCCACGCGGGGCCAUCCCGUCGACAGCGGACGGCCGGCGCUUCGCGGCGGAGCUGAGGCGGAUCCCCGGCCGGAUUGCUGGCAAUGGCGCCUGCGCUGUUGCGUCGCUUUACACGAUGCAGGGCAAGAAGGGCGUCAACCAGGACGCGAUGAUCGUUUGGGAGAACUUCUGUUCAAGAGAUGACACCAUUUUUUGCGGUGUGUUUGAUGGUCAUGGACCUUACGGUCAUUUGGUUGCUAAGAGAGUGAGAGAUCUCCUACCCGUAAAGCUUGGUGCGGAUAUGGGGACAGAUAAGGGUAGAGAGACACCCGCUAGCAACAUGGAAGGCAACACAAAUGAAGUAGGUUUACCCGUAAACCCAGAGAGAAAAGAAACCACCACUUCUGUUGCAGCUGAGCAGGAUAGGGAAUACCCAGAGAUAUUCACAACAUUCAGAACUUCAUUCUUGCGGGCUUUUCACAUAAUGGACAGGGAUCUGAAGUUACACAAGAAUAUCGAUUGCUUUUUCAGUGGAACUACAGCAGUGGCAGUGCUCAAACAGGGUCAUAAUCUUAUAAUAGGCAACUUGGGAGACUCAAGAGCUAUCUUAGGCACUAGAAAUGAAGAUGGUCAGCUCAUUGCUGUCCAGUUGACGGUUGAUCUCAAACCUAACAUUCCAAGUGAAGCACAACGCAUCAGGCAACGCAGGGGCAGAAUAUUUGCACUUCCUGAGGAGCCAGAGGUUGCUCGUGUUUGGCUGCCAAAGUAUAACUCACCUGGAUUGGCCAUGGCAAGGGCAUUUGGAGACUUCUGUCUUAAGGAGUAUGGUCUAAUUUCUAUGCCUGAAGUCUCCUGUCACCGUGUCACAGAGAAGGAUGAGUUUAUUGUGUUGGCGACUGAUGGGGUGUGGGAUGUGCUGUCAAACACUGAAGUUGUUAGCAUCAUAAGCAGAGCCACUUCUCGGGCUUCUGCAGCACGCUUCCUGGUUGAAUCAGCUAAUCGUGCCUGGCGUACUAGGUACCCUACUUCUAAAAUUGAUGACUGUGCUGUUGUUUGUCUCUUCCUGAAUACACAUGAAGCAGAUGAACCAUCUAGUUCUGCAGCCAACAAUUUAGCAAAUGCUCUAGAAGUUAGUGGUGAUAAGCACUCAACAGUUGUCCAACUGAGCACUGGAGUAUCUGCCGAUGUGGUUAAUGCACUUGUGAAAGAUACAAAUGAGCUAUCUUUUGUUGAUGCUGUUGCGAAGCCAGUUACUGUCUCAGAUUUGACAAAGGAUGGUUCAGGCACAAAGCAAAGCAUCAUUUGA
rnacentral:rRNA from 1 species